GCCAGACUCCUACGGGAGGCAGCAGUGAGGGAUAUUGGGCAAUGGGGGAAACCCUGACCCAGCGACGCCGCGUGAGGGAAGACGGUCUUCGGAUUGUAAACCUCUGUCUUUGGGGACGAAAAAGGACGGUACCCAAGGAGGAAGCUCCGGCUAACUACGUGCCAGCAGCCGCGGUAAUACAUAGGGGGCAAGCGUUAUCCGGAAUUAUUGGGUGUAAAGGGUGCGUAGACGGAGAAACAAGUUGGUUGUGAAAUCCCUCGGCUCAACCGAGGAACUGCAACCAAAACUAUUUCCCUUGAGUGUCGGAGAGGAAAGUGGAAUUCCUAGUGUAGCGGUGAAAUGCGUAGAUAUUAGGAGGAACGCCAGUGGCGAAGGCGACUUUCUGGACGAUAACUGACGUUGAGGUACGAAAGUGUGGGGAGCAAACAGGAUUAGAUACCCUAGUAAAA
rnacentral:rRNA from 1 species